AAGAUUAUAAGGACAACAGCUCUUCCGCCCGAAAGAUAACGAGCUAACCCUCUCUUCUUAUAGAGACCUUACCCACUGUUACAAUAGUGGCAAAAAAGGGAGAGUUAGAAGUUAAAUGCUUAUCGUGUUAUCUUAUAGCUGGUUUUCAGGGAAAGAGGUAUAAGCCUCCCUGUCCCACGCAAGACCCUUUUAUCCAACGAAAAUAAAUAAGAGAUUACGCAAGGAACAGAAAGAAAGUAGGAGAUAAGUUCCACUUUCGAAAGGGAAACAACCCAGAGUGUAAAAAAAGUCAAUCAGAGAAAGGGAUGAGGACUCUACUGUAGGCCUAAUAGCUGCCAACAGCAAAGAAAGCGUUAAAGCUCAAAAUAAUCCCCAUGAUUCUUGAAACAACAAUACUAAUUUUCUCUAAAAAUACCUGAAAGAAAUAAUGUUAGAACAAGUAAGAAGAAAACCAACCCUCCCUCUGCAAAGAACAAAUAAGAACUAUUACGGAAAACAAGAUAGCCUAAACAAACUGUUCUAUCAACUCAGACCCGGAAAAGGAAGGAAAAAGGGCAAGAAAGGAACUCGGCAAACAUAGAAGUGGACUGUUUACCAAAAACAUAGCCACCCGAAUAUAUGGGAGGUAACGCCUGCCCAGUGGUUCAAACUAAACGGCCGCGGUAUCUUGACCGUGCAAAGGUAGCAUAAUCAUUUGUCUCUUAAAUGGGGACUUGUAUGAACGGCAAAACCCCUUCUAGCUGUCUCUCCUGCCCUCCUCAGAAACUUCUGUUAGCGUGAAGAAGCACUAAUACCACAGAAAGACGAGAAGACCCUGUCGAGCUUAAGUCUGAAAAGAAAAAGGUAAUCCUACUAGAAGUAAACAACCACUAUUUUGUAAAGACUUUGGUUGGGGCAACCAUGGAGUAAUAACAUAACCUCCAGAGCAAACAGAAGAAAUCUAUUCUCUGUUUUUAUAAACUAGCGAACCAAGAAUUGGAAAUCGGAAAAAGUUACCGCAGGGAUAACAGCGUUAUCUUCUCUGAGAGUCCUUAUUGACGAGAAGGCUUGCGACCUCGAUGUUGGAUUGGGGCCCCCCUAGGGUGCAGAAGCUCUAAACGGUUGGACUGUUCGUCCAUUAAAGCCCU
rnacentral:rRNA from 1 species